CCUACGGGUGGCAGCAGUCGAGAAUCAUUCACAAUGGGGGAAACCCUGAUGGUGCGACGCCGCGUGGGGGAAUGAAGGUCUUCGGAUUGUAAACCCCUGUCAUGUGGGAGCAAAUUAAAAAGAUAGUACCACAAGAGGAAGAGACGGCUAACGCUGUGCCAGCAGCCGCGGUAAUACAGAGGUCUCAAGCGUUGUUCGGAAUCACUGGGCGUAAAGCGUGCGUAGGCUGUUUGGUAAGUCGUGUGUGAAAGGCGCGGGCUCAACCCGCGGACGGCACAUGAUACUGCGAGACUAGAGUAAUGGAGGGGGAGCCGGAAUUCUCGGUGUAGCAGUGAAAUGCGUAGAUAUCGAGAGGAACACUCGUGGCGAAGGCGGGUUCCUGGACAUUAACUGACGCUGAGGCACGAAGGCCAGGGGAGCGAAAAGGAUUAGAUACCCGUGUAGUC
rnacentral:rRNA from 1 species